CACGAACGCUGGCGGCAGGCUUAGCACAUGCAAGUCGAGCGCCCCGCAAGGGGAGCGGCAGACGGGUGAGUAACGCGUGGGAAUCUACCCAUCUCUACGGAAUAACGCAUGGAAACGUGUGCUAAUACCGUAUACGUCCUUCGGGAGAAAGACUUAUCGGAGAUGGAUGAGCCCGCGUUGGAUUAGCUAGUUGGUGGGGUAAAGGCCUACCAAGGCGACGAUCCGUAACUGGUCUGAGAGGAUGAUCAGUCACACUGGAACCGAGACACGGUCCAGACUCCUACGCGAGGCAGCAGUGGGGAAUAUUGGACAAUGGGCGAAAGCCUGAUCCAGCCAUGCCGCGUGUGUGAAGGCCUUAGGGUUGUAAAGCUCUUUCACCGGAGAAGAUAAUGACGGUAUCCGGAGAAGAAGCCCCGGCUAACUUCGUGCCAGCCGCCGCAGUAAAAC
rnacentral:rRNA from 1 species